GCUUUUGUAAUUAUGAUAGCGUGGAUCGAUUUUCUUGAUCAUUGUUGCAGUGGAUUUGAUAUGUAUUUAUUCAUUGUACACAUUUCUGAAUUAUGGUGUAUGCUUGUGGAUUUUGUUGUAGGCAUAAGAGAUUCUUGUACACUUAGUGAAUCUUUUCAAAACUUAUUUACUUCUGUAGAAGAGGCUUCAUAAAGAGGUUUUGUACUUGCACAUGAAACUGUUUGAGCUUUGUGAAUACGAAAGUGGCUGAUCUUGAAACACUUAUCGGUUCACUGUCAGAGUAGUUGCUGGAAAUGUUGCACCAGGGAGCAGUAGAUAAGACAAUCAGUUACUAUAUGUAUAUUCUGUUCUAUUUGAAAUUAAAAUGAUUUGAAAUGGGGACCAUAAAGUUUUCGUAAUUUUUCUAAUUCAGUUAACAUAAAUUUUUCCCUUCAAAUAAGCCUAAAUUUUUUGCGGAACUGCGUUUUUAUUCUUCACCGUUUGCGUCACUUAAUUAAAGCUCUCCUUGUUUCAAUCUCUCCUCAGUCACACUGAACUUUUUAAUGCUGCAGCCCCCUAGUGGCUACCUCAUCAUCACUUAACAAGCAGGACAAAAGUUUGGCUCAUUUUUGUCCUGUUGGACUCCCUCCAUCUGGUCAGAAUUUGUUUGGUUUUGGUGGAAUUAACCCUUUGUUCUCCCAGUUUUAGUCUGUUUUUGCAGGGUUUUUCACAGAAAACGAUCCUUGGAGGCUGCCAAGAAGACAGAGAGGAAACAAGACCUUGAGUCCAGGAAAUCCUCACCUACUUCAUGGACUUGGGCCUCAUACAAUCUGAGGAGAUGGAGUUCUUGUUUCUUUGAAUGUUCCAGGUGGGACAAUCUGACCAGGUAAGUACAUAACAAAUGAAGGCUAAUUUAUUUGCCAAUUUGGUUUAUUUUAAGUUGAGAUUGAUAACGUUAUAUAUCUAGGUUUCAUAGGAGGAAUCCAGUGGAUGUAUGCCCUUUUUUCUUGGGUCAUAUUGAGUCUGUGAUGUCACAUAGACUGGAUCCCAAAUGAAAGCUUUGGAGCAGUGGUUGUUUUUUCUUCUUUUUUUUUCUACAGUUGUAAAUAGUUUUUCAUGUAUGUAUAUAUUUAAAAUAGUUUCAUGUAAGAAUAUAGUUUAAUAUAUGUUUCAUGUAUGUAUAUAUGUAUAAUAGUUUGAUAUUUAUGACAAGUUGAUCAUCGUGGCAAAGCCAUGUUUCACUUGUGAGAUUAAAUCUGUCAGGCCUUACAUUGACACUCAGGCAACAACCCUGAGUGCCACACGGCUGGACAGGACACAUGUAAAUAAAAAAAGAUAGUUUUUAUUGCAGAGACAUCAAGUUCUGAAAUUUAUUGUAAUCUUUAAAUGUUGUAAUUGUGGUUCAUUGUAAU